rnacentral:misc_RNA from 1 species
UUAUUGCAGCUGCAGUUGUCAUCAUGGUUUUUUUGACAUUGGUAUACCAUUCAAAAAAAGAUGCUUACGAAAACGAAAAGGC